rnacentral:rRNA from 1 species
GACGAACGCUGGCGGCGUGCCUAAUACAUGCAAGUUGAGCGCUGAAGGUUGGUACUUGUACCAACUGGAUGAGCAGCGAACGGGUGAGUAACGCGUGGGGAAUCUGCCUUUGAGCGGGGGACAACAUUUGGAAACGAAUGCUAAUACCGCAUAAAAACUUUAAACACAAGUUUUAAGUUUGAAAGAUGCAAUUGCAUCACUCAAAGAUGAUCCCGCGUUGUAUUAGCUAGUUGGUGAGGUAAAGGCUCACCAAGGCGAUGAUACAUAGCCGACCUGAGAGGGUGAUCGGCCAAAUUGGGACUGAGACACGGCCCAAACCCCUACGGGAGGCAGCAGGAGGGAAUCUUCGGCAAUGGACGAAAGUCUGACCGAGCAACGCCGCGUGAGUGAAGAAGGUUUUCGGAUCGUAAAACUCGGUUGGUAGAGAAGAACGUUGGUGAGAGUGGAAAGCUCAUCAAGUGACGGUAACUACCCAGAAAGGGACGGCUAACUACGUG